GACGAACGCUGGCGGCGUGCCUAAUACAUGCAAGUCGAGCGCAAGAAGCUGACGGAACUCUUCGGAGAGAAGGCAAUGGAAUGAGCGGCGGACGGGUGAGUAACACGUAAGGAACCUGCCUCAAGGAUUGGGAUAACUCCGAGAAAUCGGAGCUAAUACCGGAUAGUUCAACGGACCGCAUGGUCCGCUGAUGAAAGGCGCUUCGGCGUCACCUUGAGCUGGCCUUGCGGUGCAUUAGCUAGUUGGUGGGGUAACGGCCCACCAAGGCGACGAUGCACAGCCGACCUGAGAGGGUGAUCGGCCACACUGGGACUGAGACACGGCCCAGACUCCUACGGGAGGCAGCAGUAGGGAAUCUUCCACAAUGGACGAAAGUCUGAUGGAGCAACGCCGCGUGAGUGAUGAAGGUUUUCGGAUCGUAAAACUCUGUUGUAAGGGAAGAACACGUACGAGAGGGAAUGCUCGUACCUUGACGGUACCUUACGAGAAAGCCACGGCUAACUACGUGCCAGCCGCCGCAGUAA
rnacentral:rRNA from 1 species